GGCCUGGUGGUGUAGUGGUUACACGUCCUCUUUCAGUAAAGCAGUCCGUCAGUGAUUGUGAGGAAGUUUCUGGUUCGAAUCCGGGUCAGGCCA